UACGUAGGGUGCAAGCGUUAAUCGGAAUUACUGGGCGUAAAGCGUGCGCAGGCGGUUGUGCGAGACAGAUGUGAAAUCCCCGGGCUCAACCUGGGAACUGCAUUUGUGACUGCACGGCUGGAGUGCGGCAGAGGGGGAUGGAAUUCCGCGUGUAGCAGUGAAAUGCGUAGAUAUGCGGAGGAACACCGAUGGCGAAGGCAAUCCCCUGGGCCUGCACUGACGCUCAUGCACGAAAGCGUGGGGAGCAAACAGG
rnacentral:rRNA from 1 species